UAGCUAGUUGGUGAGGUAAAGGCUUACCAAGGCGACGAUCUGUAGCGGGUCUGAGAGGAUGAUCCGCCACACUGGAACUGAGACACGGUCCAGACUCCUACGGGAGGCAGCAGUGGGGAAUUUUGGACAAUGGGGGCAACCCUGAUCCAGCCAUGCCGCGUGAGUGAAGAAGGCCUUCGGGUUGUAAAGCUCUUUCGGCCGGGAAGAAAUCGCAUGGGCCAAUACCCUGUGUGGAUGACGGUACCGGAAUAAGAAGCACCGGCUAACUACGUGCCAGCAGCCGCGGUAAUACGUAGGGUGCGAGCGUUAAUCGGAAUUACUGGGCGUAAAGCGUGCGCAGGCGGUUUUGUAAGACAGGCGUGAAAUCCCCGGGCUUAACCUGGGAACUGCGUUUGUGACUGCAAGGCUAGAGUACGGCAGAGGGGGGUGGAAUUCCACGUGUAGCAGUGAAAUGCGUAGAGAUGUGGAGGAACACCAAUGGCGAAGGCAGCCCCCUGGGUCGAUACUGGCGCUCAUGCACGAAAGCGUGGGUAGCAAACAGGAUUAGAUACCCUGGUAGUCCACGCCCUAAACUAUGUCAACUAGGUGUUGGGUGGGUAAAACCAUUUAGUACCGUAGCUAACGCGUGAAGUUGACCGCCUGGGGAGUACGGCCGCAAGGUUAAAACUCAAAGGAAUUGACGGGGACCCGCACAAGCGGUGGAUGAUGUGGAUUAAUUCGAUGCAACGCGAAAAACCUUACCUACACUUGACAUGCCAGGAACUUGCCAGAGAUGGCUUGGUGCCCGAAAGGGAGCCUGGACACAGGUGCUGCAUGGCUGUCGUCAGCUCGUGUCGUGAGAUAUUGGGUUAAGUCCCGCAACGAGCGCAACCCUUGUCGUUAAUUGCCAUCAUUUAGUUGGGCACUUUAACGAGACUGCCGGUGACAAACCGGAGGAAGGUGGGGAUGACGUCAAGUCCUCAUGGCCCUUAUGGGUAGGGCUUCACACGUCAUACAAUGGUCGGUACAAAGGGUUGCCAAGCCGCGAGGCGGAGCCAAUCCCAGAAAGCCGAUCGUAGUCCGGAUUGCAGGCUGCAACUCGCCUGCAUGAAGUCGGAAUCGCUAGUAAUCGUGGAUCAGCAUGUCACGGUGAAUACGUUCCCGGGUCUUGUACACACCGCCCGUCACACCAUGGGAGCGGGUUCCGCCAGAAGUAGGUAGCCUAACCGCAAGGGGGGCGCUUACCACGGCGGGGUUCGUGACUGGGGUGAAGUCGUAACAAGGUAGCCGUAGGGGAACCUGCGGCUG
rnacentral:rRNA from 1 species